ACCCAGCUGACGAGUCCCAAGUAGGACGAAACGCAUGUCCUAGAU
rfam:Schistosoma margrebowiei strain Zambia genome assembly, scaffold: SMRZ_scaffold0001634